UGAGCCAGUCCUCCCACCGCCAUCCUUGUCUCCUCCAGCUGUAGGAGGCAGGCCCCAGCUGCAGCUCUCCUUGCCCUGCCCUGAGGCAGGCAAUGGCGCUGGGUGAUCUGUUGGGCUGAAAUCUGAUGAGGCCCAUUUUGGGGGUGACAGGUGGAGGCACUCAGGGAUAACAAAGGAAGGGAAGAAAGAGGCACGGUUAGAGUGCUGCUGCAGGAAACUGGGACUUGUAGUGUUAGGGAGAUCUUCAUGUCCGUGCUGUGAAUUUGUGGCCUGCACUAUGAGGCCUACAUUUAACAACCAAGCCCUGGCUGAAGAUGGUCUCCUUCUCUCCUGGAGUUUCCUUCCUUGGCAGCAGACAUGGAGAGGGAACUGCUCUGCAGGAUUUUCCUGUGUGGUGAGGAAGGUCUGGUGACUAAAGUCCUCAUGAGAGCCCAUGAGGGAAACAGUGCAGCUGCUGGGUGAGUGGCAACAUGCUGUCAGAAGCUGGGACCUGGCUUGAUGGACAGAGCACAAACGCUGGAAUGUGAAGGUCAGUUUUCAACCUGGUAAAACAAAGAGGGGUUCCCCGAGCACCUCUGCAGGACUGCCAGUUUUGGACUUGCCCCAUGAGGGCUGAGCAGGACAGCCAACGAGGAAGGUGCCUGCAGCUGGUGGGGCCUGGCCUGCGGUGGAAGUAGCUGGCCACCGUUGUCCCCUCAAGCUGUGGGGUGGCUGUGACCAGCUGUGGGACUGGCAGGGUGGCAGAUGGACUAUCAGUGUGGAAAAGAUGGAGCUGCAGGCCUGGUGAAAAGGGACUGCGCUGAAGGGAGCACCAAGAGAAAAUGGCUCCUGGCCUCAGCAGGCAGCAGUGGGGACCUCAGCCUUUGGUGCAUAUGUUUGAGGUGCUCGUGGCUUAUACCCACCUCCUCCUGGAGAUGAUUUGGACUGCUCACACACAUUGCUGGGUUCUUGAUUACCUGUAAUCAGUAACGGGGAAGAGACUUGAGGUCUCUGCACUGAAACCCUCUGCUCAAUACCUAGCAGUGAUUUUGCUUUAUUCCCUUCUUCCCUUUUGAAAAGAAAAAAUUAAAAAGGGUGAGGAUGCAUGAAGAUUGGAAUAGAAAACAUUGACAAUCAUAUCAUACCACUGUAUAAAUCAAUAGUAUGCACUUGACUGGAAUAAUACUGAUUGCUGUAUCCUGUGAAAGUUAGAGAGAAUUGAGAUGGGUUUUGAAACUCUGAGACUGGCCCUUUUCGAGAGGUGCCCAGGCACGUUAUGGGCUGCUUGGGGAAGUGCUAAGUGAAAACCCCAGCCUGUGUUAUGCAAAGGGUUAAGCAAGACCACCAAAAUGGUCUAAAAGUGUACGUAUGUGGGUAAACCAACCAGCCCAACUACAGCCCUGGCACUGGAUGGGAGAACGUAACAGGAUGCUUCCAGCCCAGCACUGCUGUAUGUGGAAUGCCGUACCAAAGGGCACAAAUGUUCAGUGGCGUUGAUCACCAGGAGACUAAAAUAUAACCCUCAUUAUUCAUCUCUUGUCCAGCUGCAAUGUUGGCUCAGAAUUCAGAUCGAGGAACUUAAUUACCUAAUAUUUAAGUGCAGUGCUUAAACAGUAAAAGUUCUCUCCAGGAUUGUGAAGCAGGGUAUUAACUUGGGAGGAAAGGCUGGGUUGUCACCUUGAGCCCAUGCGAUGCCACUCAUCAGCGAGACGCUGCUCCCUGUUAGCAGGAGGGACUCUAAAAAUGACAAGCACAGCCUUCUAUUUCUAGAGGAUUCAACAUUUAAUUACUUUGUUGCUGUCUCCUGUAAAAUUGCUUCAGGCGCGAGAACACCCCAGGCUCCCCGGUGCCGGAGAAGAGGUUGUUCAGCCUGAAGAGAUGACACUCGGCUGAGCUUUUGGUGCUCGGUGCGGUCCCAGCAGCAGCAUGCUUGCAGUGGUUAUGAAUGACCAGCACUUGGCAGGGCUUUCAUGUGCUCGUCAGGGCAAGAAGCCUUAUCUCUGCCUGCGCUGGUGCAGCUGACUCCUUCGGGGAGCUUUUGGUAGUUUGACAGAGCCUUGUUUUUCAGCAUUCGAGCUCUAGUUGGAGGUGUCCCCAGUUCUGUAGCCAUGCUGCUUGAGGACUUCAGGACUCAGUUUUCCUACCAUGUAGACUACUCUGAACACAACUGAGGAAAAAGUAACUGUCAGCACUGUGUCUCUGGUGCAAAAAGCUAUUUCAGCAUCAAAUGCUCAGGCAAAAACUUCCUUGGAAGUAGUGCCUGUGGGCAUUUGACAAGCCUGUUUGGUCAUAAAUGUCCUCUUCCCUUGUGAGAAAGCAGUAAUGUUCUCUGGGCUCCAACUCUGCCCAGACCAGGCAAGAUGAAGUCAUCUGUGGACUCAGUCUCUGUCAAGUUACUGCAUGUCAGCAAAUUAAUAGCACCUUUCCCUCUCUGCCACCACACUCGCAUGGCCUCCCUUUGCAGGGAGGGCUAAUCUAAGUGAAAUUACUUCCCGUAGGGCCUCCUGAGUUCCCCAGGGGCAGGAGGCUCUGCAGCAUGAACUCAAACCUUAUUUGACGCAAAAAUCCACAGGAGUGAGUUGUUAUAAAUGCCCCAAGGGCAGGCAAAGUUUCAGCUGGUGCUUUCUCUCCCUUACACACCGAAGUCAAUCAAUCACGAGAUGCAAAUCCAUAGAAAAUGAGGCUUCAUUAGUUCUGCGGCUCACAGCGUUCCCUUGGGGCUUUGUUGGCUUCUUUUUUCCCCCUCUCCUUUAAUGUUAUAUUACGUGGCUUUGAGGUUCUUGUGCUUAAUGUGGCCAGGUAUGUUUGAGGGAGCAGUGUUUGAGGGGCAGUCUUGCUCUCCAUUACCAUCCUUCUGGAGUCCAUCUGAGACUUUGGGCGGUUGCAGUUGGAAAUGGAAGGAUAAUACUCUCCCCCUCUUACAAGCUUUGUCCAAUGGACAAGAACUUACAACGUGGUAUGAUUCUGCCUGUGACUUGGUCAAGAAAAGGGACUGCUUUUUAAUGAGGUGUUCUCAUGGGGUUGUUUCAGUUUAACUUCCUGAAGAGGUGCAGGGUGAACAACAAAUGGGUACGGGCAUCUUAGCUCAGCAUUUGCCUGCUGUCUUCAAGGACCUGGUCAAGGCUCCUGCAAGCAAAGAUGGGGCAAUGUGAAAGGCAGCAAUUUUGUUUUGCCAUCCUGCUGUUAUGGAAUAUUAAACACUGAACAAUUUUGCAGGCCCUCUCUGGAGCAUUAACAAGUCCUCUGUGAAUGGAUGUACUGUGCUAGUCAGACCUUGGAGAUGCAGAAUCCCAAUUACUGCUUAGUAAGGAACUUCAAAGCCACUUCUGCAUAUGAAAACUAUGUGGAAAUUUCACUAAACAAUUAGUAAGCUACAGGUAUGUGUAUUUUCCACAUAGAUGUAUAUUUUUCCCGUAACAUUCUUGAUUUCUAUUAGCCGCUCUGAUGUAACAAGGUGUUUAGUCUUUGCUUACCAUCUUUUGGUCCCGUAGCAGCAAAAUAAUGGGUAUGGCAGGGGGCAGUGAGAAGGUCUGCUGAGGCCUUCUGAAAUGGUCAUGGCUGGUCGUGGCCUGGUCUGAAUUAGGAUUAGCAAUGCUGUUCUGUUAAACGUGACCUUAGGUUAGGCCCCUGAGAUGUUAAAGCAGAUAAAUGUUUUGUUGUAGAAAUGGGUUGUUCCCAGUAAGAGAUGAUGAUGGAGAUUGAUGGUGCCUUACUCUGGUUUUGUCCCGAUAGGGAUUGAAUAGGAGAUGAAGGGUUUUUCAAAAACAAAAUGACAAAGUAAAAAUAAUAAAAAAACAACUUUAAGGUGUUUUGGGACAGCCUGAGCUGAAACCCCUGU